rnacentral:lncRNA from 1 species
AGUUGAGAACCGUUACUUGACUGGUACCUCCAGCCCACCAGCAGGCAAUGAUGGCAUCAGACUAGAGGAUCACCAGUAAAUCAUUGUAAACAUUCUUGAAUAUGAGUCAGUCUGGUAUGAACAUACCUCUAACAGCCUCGCAUACACACUUGCUGAUCUCCCCCUUACAAGCAACAGAAAACAGGUCUUGACCCAGAGCCUUCAACAAACAAGCGUGGAAAGAGAGAAAGUCCACUUUAAGCGAUGGAAAAUCAGCCCCAAUUCUGAAGGAACAACCAUGAACAGAUGAUUUAAGGAGAAUCAAUUCUUUGCUCUUUGCAGAAGGAGCCAACAGAGUGAGAUGAAGGGGACAACUUCAGAUACUCAGGCAGAAGCAUAAGUCCCCACCUGCUGACCUGCUGCCUGCUAUCUUAACACGAAUUCUUCAUCUGAAUGGAUGAGCUUUUCACAGAGUUCCAAACUAAGGAAUCCAGGAGUGGCCAAUCCAGAGAUUCAUUCCUUAUCUUUGACGAACAUCUGAACUCCUGGCUCAUCCUGUGGAAUUCAGGCCAUACAGGAGAUCAAGGUCAUUUGCUUUGGGUUAAAUGAAUGUUGCCAGGUGGAGGUUGCUAGAGGGAGAGUGCUAUGUGAAAGUGCUGUAUAAACUGCUUGCUUUUCACAAACAGUAGUGAUUCUUUAUCCUGUCCAGCCUGCCACAACUGGACCAUCCUGUAUGUAAGUCCCCUUAAUAAAUCCUGUGUCUCAUUCACUGGCUUCAAGUCUCUUCCUGGGCCUCUUGAACGUGGUGCCACCUGUAUUGAAGUCAACAGAAGUUCAGCACAACACAGGUCAAAAUGAAGAUUCUGACUCAGUAGGUCAGGAUGUUCUAACGAGCUCUAGCUGACAUGAUACGUCAGGGCUGCAGACUAGCUUUGAGCAACAAGG